UUUCCCAGGGUUCGGGCCGGAGAGAGGCCUUGUAGGCACAGCGGCUGCGGCUCGAUCCGCUCCAAGCAGGGGCUCCAGCUGGGUCGGAGUCCGGGGGUCAGGCCCGCCGACCUGCGCCCUGCUCCCUCUCAGCACCUGGGAGACGAAAUGACCAUUAAGAAGUAGAUGCCCAGAUGCAAAAGUGAUGAAACAGUCCAUUUGUCAUAAAGUAAGAUGCAGCUGUGUCGUGUCAACCACCUUGGAACAAAAUUGUAUCUGUUUUUCUCAGAAGAGAAUUCCACAAGGU